UCCCUUAUAGCUCAGUUGGUAAAGCAUCUGCCUGCAAUGCAGGAGACCUCGGUUCAAUUCCUGGGUCAGGAA
rfam:Ovis aries breed Texel chromosome 2, whole genome shotgun sequence.